rnacentral:lncRNA from 1 species
GAAUCAGCUCUGCACUUUGUUUCACCUUGGCUGGGACAACAAAGGCAUCAUGCAGCCAAUCAGCAUGAUCUUGGAAGAGGCCAAUGCCUGGAAAGGAAAGGGUUUCCAGAGUCACCCUCCCACGGUGACAGAGUGAGAGCCAGCCAUCGCAUACAACCUUGGAGAGGGUGGGAGGUGGACGUAGACCCCCUGAGAAGCUGAAACUCAAGCCAGGAAGAAAACAGUUUGUGCUGCAUCUGCACGGACACCUUUAAACAGGAAUACAGUGGCACGGGGAUGCUUCCUCAGCAGACUCCAUCAGCCACAGGAUUGCCCAGGCUUUCCAAUCCACCUUCCUCAGCCUCCCAGAGUGUUGGGAUUCCUUGUCAAUGUGCCUGGCCUCCACAAAACGUGUGUACGAGUGACACUGUCACGGGAGCAGUGCAGACGAGCACACCACGCAGAGGCAUAGAGAGGAGGCCACAGUCUGGUGGGACAGGAAGCCAACCACACAGCCCCAGCCUGGAAAUGAUGCCACCCAAAGUCUGUAGGGAACAGUGAGGAGAGCUGCUCUGACAUGACGCUGUGGCCCUGGGGGAGGCAGCAUCUUAGCUUGGUUUGGAGCGUGGAUCUGAGUCCGGGUAGAGGUUGGGGAAUAUUCCAGAGAGCAAAGAGAAAGCAGCUUGAAUCAAUCGCAGAGGAGGCAGCACAUGGGGGAAGCAGCAAGCUCUUCAGUUUUAGCUUGCAAGUCAUUUUGAGGAAGAGAAAUGUGAAAGAAUAUCUACAUGGAGGCAGGAAAAAAGUUACAGACAAAAGCCGAGUGCUUAUGCACCUGUAACUCCAGCUCUCAGGAGACUGAGGCAGGAGGAUUGCAAGUUCAGGCCAGAGUGGGCUACUCUGAGAUCCUGUUGCAAAACACAAAACAAGACAAAUCAACGUAAACAAAAACCAGAACAAGACAAAAGUUGAAGACAAGAUCACUUUGGAGGCUCAGUUUAAAGUGACUCUUGUUAAGAAAAUAAUGAAAGAAGAUGGUAUAAAGCAUUCUGCCAGGGUAAGGGUUGG